UACGUAGGGGGCAAGCGUUGUCCGGAAUCAUUGGGCGUAAAGAGCGUGUAGGCGGCUCGAUAAGUCUGCUGUGAAAGUCCAGGGCUCAACCCUGGAAGGCCGGUGGAAACUGUCGGGCUAGAGUCCGGAAGAGGCGAGUGGAAUUCCCGGUGUAGCGGUGAAAUGCGCAGAUAUCGGGAGGAACACCAAUGGCGAAGGCGGCUCUCUGGGACGGUACUGACGCUGAGACGCGAAAGCGUGGGGAGCGAACAGG
rnacentral:rRNA from 1 species